rnacentral:rRNA from 1 species
GUCUCAGAAACUGAGCAGGGUCGGGCCUGGUUAGUAUUCAGAUGGGAGAUUACCUGGGAAUACUGGGUCAGUAGGCAUUAAAAA